rnacentral:lncRNA from 1 species
GCCUUCUCGGAGGUGGACCUCGACGCCGACCUUGUGCGCUCAGAUUUUAGCCACAGCGCAGUUCAUGUGCGGGUUGUGCUUGUUGCGCGUGACCAGCAAUGCGAACGCCGUGUGGAUAGGAUUCUUACUCAGAGUGGGUCCAGCUAUUUUUCCUCGGCGCCAGAAGGCUGCAGCCUGUCCGGAGCCGAGCUGACGACGAGGGGAAGUGACCAUCGUGGUUGCAAGGAUCGGUGUGUGUGCCGGAGCAUCGAAAACGACGCAUGAUCGUAUCCUUAGCCUGGUUUUGAAGCGUAGCUCCCCGUUUGACUCGUGCCUGUGCUUGGAUGUGGACCGGCUCCCCCAGUCUCCCCAUGUUACAGCUCCUCGAAGCGUGACUCGUGAGUGUGCCACCAGACGAUUGGUAUGGUUUUGUCUUCGGGUUGGCGCGUCAGUUGGUCGCAAAGUCAAUGGGCGAGUGAGACGUCGGCAUCUGAUUGCGAGAACGGGGAUCGUGGAGAUACCCUCUGAUGGGUCACUUCAUGAUGGUUCAUUACAGGCGAUUCCAAUGCCAGGUCGCUUGUGUAGCAGUCUGAAGAUUCAUAGUAAGCUCGCCAAUUGGUUGUAAAAUAAUCGUGUUUGCUCUCCUGCUCUUCCAUUCUCUGAUAUGUCUUCUGUGCUCUAUCUCAACGUUAAAAUGCAAAAAAACUCCUUUUGGUAGGUUUGUAAUGCAGAGGAGUCGGUGCUUGCUCGUUUUGGUGAAGCUUUUUGAUGGUCCAUGAAUGCGACAGUAGCUCCUAAACCAUUGCCGUGUGGUCGAACUCCUAAAUCUAGGAUAAAUUUCGGUACAGGUGUGUUUAUUUUUUCAAAAUUACUCAACCUAAUGGUGCGCGGGUUUUGAGCUCACCGAUUAGGAGUGUUGACAGAAAGCAGCAGUCCGGGAGCUCCUUGGUAAUGAAUCACAUUGUGAGCUCCAUCCCUCCUGUGGAGGAUUUCGAUUACGAUGCGGUGCUCAAUACUCACGCACGGGGUGCAAAGAGAAGUUGGAUGUCAAGGUUGCGCUUGUGUGCGUGUAUGUGUUACUUCUCGGUGGUCUUUUCAAUCCUGGCCGCAGCGCUCUCGACACAAUUCGUCAGGUGAGACAGCAACUGCGAGGGCAGGAAUAGUUCCAUUUCGAGAGUUCACGUUGCAGAAAGAUGUCAAGCAGUUACGAAAGCCAAUGCACACGUAGAAUCUACAGUGCAAGGAAUCGCAACUAGGUCAAACAACCCUCAACGUCGACGAGGAACUAAGCAACGUCAGCGAGCUGGUCUUGUUUUCCUGUGAAAUCUUGUAACAUACCUGGUUACAUCUGGGAAAGAAGUAACUGUAGUGCAAAUAACCUGGUGCGAUUUGUCCAGCUUUGCUUAAACAUACUCCAAAAUCACAAGUCUAGGCUUGUAGCCAAAUCAUCCGAAGAAAAUGAACAUGUUCAAGCGGCGGGAAGAAGCUGCCAGGUGACAGAUCAGCUGGAAUCGCCUUUCAAUUCAAUCUUUUCCAUUGCAUAAGAAAUCAUGCUCAAGUUUCUACUUCCAUGAACUCGUAAUCCAAAUCUGUGAUCAAUUUUUUGUGUAAAAGUGAAUAAAAUGAGACAAUAUAACACACUGGGUCUAGCGCACUUAGACUAAAUACUAUUACACCUUCACCAUUACCUUCACCCUCAUGCUUUCAAUAGAGGAGAUGGCGGCUUAACAUUGUCCCUGAUGACAUCUUUCCAAGCUUUCUCAAGCAUAAUGAGGAAUUGCUUUAGGAUCCUGAAGUGUUUAAGAGGGUCGGAAUCAUUCUUUGCUGCUUCGUUACCGUAGAAAUAUCUGUUGGUGUCCCUCACUGCUUGCAGAGCUUCGCCAAGCUCCUCCUGAGCUGCUUCUACGUCUGCACCGGCAUCCUUGAUGAACUUCUCCAUUGUCUCUUGGAAAGUAUCCUUACUAAGAUCAAUAGAUCGUCUUCUUACGCUUGUUCCUGGUUCUGUUUUCGUAUACUUCCCUUCUCGAACUUGAGACUUGAUUUCCUGGAGGCCUUUGGCCAGGUCGUGAACCGAUUGCUGCAGCAAAUUCAAGUCGAAGCCGCCUGCCUCGCUUACUGCGGAUAGUUCCGCAGGCAACCCCAUGAUCAUUCCCAUACGCAUUCUUUCAGGCGCAUAUUGAUCGUCAUGCAUCUUCAUGGCUGCUUCCAUGCUUGCAGAGAAAUCAGAGGAGCGUGGAGAAUCCGCAGCCUUGAAGGAGACAUGCCCGUCCCCAUCGUUGCCAGACAAUCGAGCUAACCGAGCAAUUUCUGAUUUAUUAAUCUCUGCCACGACAAAAUGAAGCAGCGUUGUUUUGUUGUCGACUCCU